rnacentral:rRNA from 1 species
AGUGAACGCUGGCGGUAGGCCUAACACAUGCAAGUCGAACGGCAGCACAGUAAGAGCUUGCUCUUACGGGUGGCGAGUGGCGGACGGGUGAGGAAUACAUCGGAAUCUACUUUUUCGUGGGGGAUAACGUAGGGAAACUUACGCUAAUACCGCAUACGACCUACGGGUGAAAGCAGGAGAUCUUCGGACCUUGCGCGAUUGAAUGAGCCGAUGUCGGAUUAGCUAGUUGGCGGGGUAAAGGCCCACCAAGGCGACGAUCCGUAGCUGGUCUGAGAGGAUGAUCAGCCACACUGGAACUGAGACACGGUCCAGACUCCUACGGGAGGCAGCAGUGGGGAAUCUUGGACAAUGGGCGCAAGCCUGAUCCAGCCAUACCGCGUGGGUGAAGAAGGCCUUCGGGUUGUAAAGCCCUUUUGUUGGGAAAGAAAAGCAGCAGGUUAAUACCCCGCUGUUCUGACGGUACCCAAAGAAUAAGCACCGGCUAACUUCGUG